UACGUAGGGUGCAAGCGUUGUCCGGAAUUAUUGGGCGUAAAGAGCUCGUAGGCGGUCUGUCGCGUCGGCUGUGAAAACUUGGGGCUCAACCCCAAGCCUGCAGUCGAUACGGGCAGACUAGAGUCCGGCAGGGGAGACUGGAAUUCCUGGUGUAGCGGUGAAAUGCGCAGAUAUCAGGAGGAACACCUAUUGCGAAGGCAGCUCGCUGGGACGUAACUGACGCUGAGACGCGAAAGCGUGGGGAGCAAACAGG
rnacentral:rRNA from 1 species